rnacentral:rRNA from 1 species
GUUUGACAUGCACAGGACGCCGGUAGAGAUAUCGGUUCCCUUGUGGCCUGUGUGCAGGUGGUGCAUGGCUGUCGUCAGCUCGUGUCGUGAGAUGUUGGGUUAAGUCCCGCAACGAGCGCAACCCUUGUCUCAUGUUGCCAGCACGUUAUGGUGGGGACUCGUGAGAGACUGCCGGGGUCAACUCGGAGGAAGGUGGGGAUGACGUCAAGUCAUCAUGCCCCUUAUGUCCAGGGCUUCACACAUGCUACAAUGGCCGGUACAAAGGGCUGCGAUCCCGUGAGGGUUAGCGAAUCCUUUAAAGCCGGUCUCAGUUCGGAUUGGGGUCUGCAACUCGACCCCAUGAAGUCGGAGUCGCUAGUAAUCGCAGAUCAGCAACGCUGCGGUGAAUACGUUUU